GCUGGAUCCCCUCCUUUCUAAGGAUGAUCGGGAUCGGCCAAGCGCCCGCUCCGUCAGGAGCGUUAGGGGCGCCGACGGUCUCCCGAUCGCCAUAGACAAUGCCGGCCGGCGUCCCAACGCCGCGACCGGCGAUCUCAGGCGGGGCCGCCGCCGUCUUCGUUUCUCUUUCUCUUUCUCUUUCUUCUCCCAGCGCUCCUGUGCUAGGGCUCGCGCGCCGCGUCGAUGUCUCGGCGCGACGCGGUUGGAGGCCGGUAGCUCAGGUGGUUAGAGCGCACGCCUGAUAAGCGUGAGGUCGGUGGUUCAAGUCCACCUCGGCCUACCAUGCCGCUGAAGGCCAGCCCCGCCAUUCGGGCGGGUCGGCCAGGCGGUGGAACGCGCCACGGGGCCUUAGCUCAGCUGGGAGAGCGCCUGCUUUGCACGCAGGAGGUCAUCGGUUCGAUCCCGAUAGGCUCCACCACGCGCCCUGCGAGGGGCCGUGGCCGGCUGUGAUGCGGCGCGAGGAGAAAGACCGUCAUUCGCGCACGGCUGUGGCUGUGUGCGGGUCAAACAGACAUGGUGAAGGAGAGUUCGUCCGGGUUCCCGGGUCCGCUCCCCGCGCUUCGGCGCGGUGGGCCCGUGGGAUUGAGAACGGGCGGACUGCUGUAUCGAAUAUCGUUCGAUCGUGGUGUUUGUGUGGGUUUGCGCCCAUGUCGGCCGUGCGCCGGCGGGGCGUUCACCGCACACGAACAUCGCUGAGAA
rnacentral:tRNA from 1 species